rnacentral:rRNA from 1 species
AGAGUUUGAUCCUGGCUCAGAGUGAACGCUGGCGGCGUGCUUAACACAUGCAAGUCGAACGAGAACGGCUUAUAGCUUGCUAUAAGUGUCAGCUAAGUGGCGCACGGGUGAGUAAUAUAUAGUUAAUCUGCCCUAGAGAGAGGGAUAACGUUUGGAAACGAACGCUAACACCUUAUAUGCCUUUAAGUCAUAAGACUGCAAGGGAAACAUUUAUGGCUCUAGGAUGAGACUGUACGGUAUCAGCUAGUUGGUGAGGUAAUGGCUCACCAAGGCAAUGACACCUAACUGGUUUGAGAGGAUGAUCAGUCACACUGGAACUGAGACACGGUCCAGACUCCUACGGGAGGCAGCAGUGGGGAAUAUUGCACAAUGGAGGAAACUCUGAUGCAGCAAUGCCGCGUGUGUGAAGAAGGCCUUAGGGUUGUAAAGCACUUUCAGUAGGGAGGAAAAGUUUAAGGUUAAUAACCUUAGGCCCUGACGUUACCUACAGAAGAAGCACCGGCUAACUCCGUGCCAGCAGCCGCGGUAAUACGGAGGGUGCAAGCGUUACUCGGAAUCACUGGGCGUAAAGAGCGUGUAGGCGGGUUAAUAAGUCAGAUGUGAAAGCCAAUGGCUCAACCAUUGAACUGCAUUUGAAACUGUUAAUCUAGAAUAUGGGAGAGGUAGAUGGAAUUUCUGGUGUAGGGGUAAAAUCCGUAGAGAUCAGAAGGAAUACCGAUUGCGAAGGCGAUCUACUGGAACAUUAUUGACGCUGAGACGCGAAAGCGUGGGGAGCAAACAGGAUUAGAUACCCUGGUAGUCCACGCCCUAAACGAUGCACACUAGUUGUUGCUAUGCUAGACAUAGCAGUAAUGCAGUUAACACAUUAAGUGUGCCGCCUGGGGAGUACGGUCGCAAGAUUAAAACUCAAAGGAAUAGACGGGGACCCGCACAAGCGGUGGAGCAUGUGGUUUAAUUCGACGAUACGCGAAGAACCUUACCUGGACUUGACAUAGUAAGAAGAUUUAAGAGAUUAGAUUGUGUCUGCUUGCAGAAACUUAUAUACAGGUGCUGCACGGCUGUCGUCAGCUCGUGUCGUGAGAUGUUGGGUUAAGUCCCGCAACGAGCGCAACCCUCGUCCUUAGUUGCUAACAGUUCGGCUGAGAACUCUAAGGAGACUGCCUGGGUAACCAGGAGGAAGGUGAGGACGACGUCAAGUCAUCAUGGCCCUUACGUCCAGGGCUACACACGUGCUACAAUGGGGCAUACAAAGAGCAGCAAUACCGCGAGGUGGAGCAAAUCUCAAAAAUGCCUCCCAGUUCGGAUAGCACUCUGCAACUCGAGUGCUUGAAGUUGGAAUCGCUAGUAAUCGUAGAUCAGCAAUGCUACGGUGAAUACGUUCCCGGGUCUUGUACUCACCGCCCGUCACACCAUGGGAGUUGAACUCAUUCGAAGCGGGGAUGCUAAAGUAGCUACCCUCCACAGUGGAUUCGGCGACUGGGGUGAAGUCGUAACAAGGUAACCGUAGGAGAACCUGCGGUUG